AGAGAUAUUAGGUAUAAAUGAUACUAGUGGUAAUGGUAGUAGUAGAGAUAUUAGAGGUAUAAAUGAUACUAGUGGUAAUGGUAGUAGUGGAGAUAUUAGAGGUAUAAAUGAUACUAGUGGGGAUAGUAGUAGUAGAGAUAUUAGAGGUAGAAAUGAUACUAGUGGUAAUGGUAGUAGGUAGAGAUAUUAGAGGUAGAAAUUAUACUAGUGGUGAUGGUAGAGAUAUUAGAGGUAGAAAUUAUACUAGUGGUGAUGGUAAUGGUAGAGAUAUUAGAGGUAUAAAUGAUACUAGUGGUAAUGGUAGAUAUAUUAGAGGUAUACAUGAUACUAGUGGUAAUGGUGGUAGAGAUAUUAGAGGUAUAAAUGAUACUAGUGGUGAUGGUAGAGAUAAUAGAGGUAUAAAUGAUACUAGUGGUGAUGGUAGAGAUAUUAGAGGUAGAAAUUAUACUAGUGGUAAUGGUAGUAGAGAUAUUAGAGGUAUAAAUGAUACUAGUGGUAAUGGUAGUAGAGAUAUUAGAGGUAUAAAUGAUACUAGUGGUGAUGGUAGAGAUAAUAGAGGUAUAAAUGAUACUAGUGGUAAUGGUAGUAGAGAUAUUAGAGGUAUAAAUGAUACUAGUGGUAAUGGUAGUAGAGAUAUUAGAGGUAUAAAUGAUACUAGUGGUAAUGGUAGUAGAGAUAUUAGAGGUAUAAAUUAUACUAGUGGUAAUGGUAGUAGAGAUAUU
ensembl:lncRNA